UGCAAGUCGACUGGAAUUCACCUUCAGGUGAUAGUACGGUGGCGGACGGGUGAGUAACGCGUAAAGAACUUGCCCUCUAGACUGGGACAACUGUUGGAAACGACAGCUAAUACCGGAUAUUAUGAGAUUCUCGCAUGGGAAACUUAUGAAAGGCUAUAUGCGCUAGAGGAGAGCUUUGCGUGCCAUUAGGUAGUUGGUAGGGUAAUGGCCUACCAAGCCGACGAUGGCUAGCCGGCCUGAGAGGGUGAUCGGCCACAAGGGGACUGAGACACGGCCCUUACUCCUACGGGAGGCAGCAGUGGGGAAUAUUGGACAAUGGACCAAAAGUCUGAUCCAGCAAUUCUGUGUGCACGAUGAAGGUUUUCGGAUCGUAAAGUGCUUUCAGGUGGGAAGAAAAAAAUGACGGUACCACCAGAAGAAGCGACGGCUAAAUACGUGCCAGCAGCCGCGGUAAUACGUAUGUCGCAAGCGUUAUCCGGAAUUAUUGGGCGUAAAGCGCGUCUAGGCGGCCUUUUAAGUCUGAUGUGAAAAUGCGGGGCUCAACUCCGUAUUGCGUUGGAAACUGGAAGGCUAGAGUAUCAGAGAGGUGGGCGGAACUACAAGUGUAGAGGUGAAAUUCGUAGAUAUUUGUAGGAAUGCCGAUUGGGAAGCCAGCUCACUGGAUGAAUACUGACGCUGAAGCGCGAAAGCGUGGGGAGCAAACGGGAUUAGAUACCCCGGUAGUCCACGCCGUAAACGAUGAUCACUAAGUGUGGGGGGUCGAACCUCCGUGCUCAAGCUAACGCGAUAAGUGAUCCGCCUGGGGAGUACGCACGCAAGUGUGAAACUCAAAGGAAUUGACGGGGACCCGCACAAGCGGUGGAGCAUGUGGUUUAAUUCGACGCAACGCGAGGAACCUUACCAGCCCUUGACAUCCUCA
rnacentral:rRNA from 1 species